GGAGAGGUGUCCGAGUGGUUGAAGGAGCACGCCUGGAAAGUGUGUAUACGUGCAAACGUAUCGAGGGUUCGAAUCCCUCUCUCUCCGCCA
rnacentral:tRNA from 1 species